CCUACGGGAGGCAGCAGUGAGGAAUAUUGCUCAAUGGACGCGAGUCUGAACCAGCCAAGCAGCGUGAAGGAUGACUGCCCUAUGGUUUGUAAGUUUCUUUUGUAUGGGAAUAAAACAGGGUAUGCAUACCCUCUUGUAUGUACCAUAUGCAUAAGAAUCGGCUAACUCCGUGCCAGCAGCCGCGGUAAUACGGAGGAUCCGAGCGUUAUCCGGAUUUAUUGGGUUUAACGGGAGCGUAGGUGGUUUGUUAAGUCAGUUGUGAAAGUUUGGGGCUCAACCGGACAAGUGCAGUUGAUACUGGCAGUCUUGAGUACAGUAGAGGGGGGUGGAAUUCGUGGUGUAGCGGUGAAAUGCUUAGAUAUCACGAAGAAUCCCGAUGGCGAAGGCAGCCUGCCGCAGCGUUACUGACGCUGAAGCGCGAAAGCGCGGGGAUCGAACAGGAUUAGAUACCCGUGUAGUC
rnacentral:rRNA from 1 species